UACGUAGGGGGCUAGCGUUGUUCGGAUUUACUGGGCGUAAAGCGCACGUAGGCGGCUUUCUAAGUCAGGGGUGAAAUCCUGGAGCUCAACUCCAGAACUGCCUUUGAUACUGGAGAGCUUGAGUUCGGGAGAGGGAAGCGGAAUUCCGGGUGUAGCGGUGAAAUGCGUAGAUAUCCGGAGGAACACCGGUGGCGAAGGCGGCUUCCUGGACCGACACUGACGCUGAGGCGCGAAAGCUAGGGGAGCAAACGGG
rnacentral:rRNA from 1 species